GUUUAGUGUUCUUCGCGAAUGGGUUCUUCUCAGAGAAAUGCAUAUAUUGACAUAUACAUACAUUCAUAUGCACACAUACAUACAUUCAUAUGCAUACAUUCAUACAUACAUACAUAUGCACACAUUAUACAUACAUACAUACAUACAUUCUAAGAGGUCACAACAAGAUCAGUGGUUAUUGCCACUUCUAAUUGCGGUAGUCAGGCAGAUCAAGGUCAGAUGUUUGUGAAAGAGACAUCUUGUGACAACUGUACUACUGGGUGUGAUGACUCCACCAUCAAGUAUUCUCAUGGGAAAUCAUCAUCAUAUGGGGCUUCAGCUAGGUUGGUGAACGAUAGCUAAUUUUAGUAAAUCUUACAGUGUUGGUGCGUGUAAUUAGAUAAACUGCUGUCAGAUCAAGCCGUUCACCUUGUAGAAGGUUUGGAAUUAGAUAAACUGAACGAGAAGUUUUUACCAAUCAAAGACACUCAUCAGGUCUGUGUUCCAUAACAGCAUCUCAACAGGCAAUUCACCUUUUCAGGCAACACUACCUCUAAACUUUUUCCCUUACGAUCUCUAUUAUUUACCCUUUAUAUGUACUUUCAAGAGUUCUUGAGCCCAAACAGGUUCCAAUAACAGUCUUACUUACCGCUUCCAUAGUAGGAUGCUCCUGGGGAUAAACUACAUCUCCCUCAGAUCAAAUCAGGAACUAACAUUAGAAACACUCCUACAUAGUCACAGACUAGUUUCUGAAAAUAACAGGUCCAUCUCGGAUGGAACUUUAAAAUGGCAGAGACACAACUAGAGUCCUUCAGCCAGUGUUCUCAUUCGAUUGAUUAUUUGGAGUAGCUUUGGAAACUUCAAAAACGGUCAAGCUUUAGGUAUCUGACAUUAUUCUAGAGAUGAACUAUAUUUGGAUAUGAGAAAAAGUACAAGCAAGAUCCACGAUAAGACUAUGUUCCACUUGUGGGAGCAGUUAUGAGAACUAAGUAUACGAACCAGAAAGUUAGGAGCUUAUAAGCUGAGUAUCCAAUGUUUCUGAAACAUGUUUGGCCUCAAAAGAUGCCAGGCCCUUUGAUUUGCUAAAAAAGAAGCUCAUGUUAAGAUUAGAUACACUCUGAAUCCAUAUUCUAAAGACUUAUGAAGAGGAAUGGUUUUAUAUCCCAGUCGGUGGGUCCUUGCCAAACACUGAACAAAAGAAUCUCGCCGUUGGUCUGCAGCAAUUGAAGGAACCCUUUCCACUGCAGAAUUCUAGUGAAAAGAGUUAUUUUUUGCUCUGAUUGUGAUGAACAUAGUGGUUUUUGUACUCAUAUAUUAUAAUAUGAUCUUCCGAAUGUUUCAGAUACGUUUCGUGACGUAAAAGCAAACGGGAGACAAAGAAAGAGAAUUUAAUCCAAAAAGCUCAAGACAUGGGGAAGGAACGGACGGAGGAACUUAGCUUCAAACUACACUGAUGCCAAUAAUGGAAGAAGUGCAGCUUUUAAAAGGCAGAGUGGAGCUAAUCACAUAAUAAGAGGUCUUAGAAAUGCUUCGCCUGCUCCUAUCAAAGCAACAAUCGAGACAAUACCUUGUUCCAUAAAGGAGUCUAACCCUGUAAUUCCCCCAAGUGGAGUUAGAAACCGAAAUAUUACAGAAGAACACACUCCCUUCAAGUCUACAUCUUCGUCUGAUGAUCUUACUGAGCUGAAGAAGCCUAAAGCAACUGAAAAUGAACCUUAUCAGAUUUUUUUGUGCGAAUCAAUAUCCAAGAAAGAAAUUGCAGUGAAGAAGAGCGCAAAUUGUUUGCAGUUUGGUGUUAUACAAAGUUUUGAAUUCUCUGUACUUUUGGUUUGUUUUUUAUGUUAUAUAGAUUGAUUAGAUCUAAACUGUGAUUUAAUUUGCCAGGAUGCAGCUAAUAUUGUUUUGAAUAAACCUCAUGGUAUGGCUGUUCAAGGAGGAACUGGGGUCAAAGCCAGUAUUGAUGAACUAUAUGCUGCCACUUGCUUGACUUUUGAUAAAUCAGAAUCUCCUCAGCUGUAGGUGCACAGACUUGACAGAGACUGUAGUGGACUUUUGGUGUUGGGAAGAACACAAACGG